rnacentral:rRNA from 1 species
CCUACGGGAGGCUGCAGUGAGGAAUAUUGGUCAAUGGGCGGAAGCCUGAACCAGCCAAGUCGCGUGAGGGAUUAAGGCCCUGCGGGUCGUAAACCUCUUUUGCCGGGGAGCAGUGGUCGGGACGCGUCCGGACCGGGAGAGUACCCGGAGAAAAAGCAUCGGCUAACUCCGUGCCAGCAGCCGCGGUAAUACGGGGGAUGCGAGCGGUAUCCGGAUUUAUGGGGUUUAAAGGGUGCGUAGGCGGGCAUUUAAGCCGGCGGUCAAAUGUCGGGGCGCAACCCCGGCCUGCCGUCGGAACUGGGGGCCUUGAGUGGGCGAGAAGUAUGCGGAAUGCGUGGUGUAGCGGUGAAAUGCAUAGAUAUCACGCAGAACCCCGAUUGCGAAGGCAGCAUACCGGCGCCCUACUGACGCUGAGGCACGAAAGUGCGGGGAUCGAACAGGAUUAGAUACCCUUGUAGUC